AACAGGUGGGGACAGUGGAGAACAGGUGGGGGCAGAAAAUAACAGGUGGGGACAGUGGAGAACAGGUGGGGACAGUGGAGAACAGGUGGGGACAUUGGGGAACAGGUGGGGACAGUGGAGAACAGGUGGGGGCAGAAAAUAACAGGUGGGGACAGUGGAGAACAGGUGGGGACAGUGGAGAACAGGUGGGGACAUUGGGGAACAGGUGGGCACAGUGGAGAACAGGUGGGGGCAGAAAAUAACAGGUGGGGACAGUGGAGUACAGGUGGGGACAAUGGUGAACAGGUAGGGACAGUGGGGAACAGGUGGGGACAGUGGAGAACAGGUGGGGACAGUGGAAAACAGGUGGGGACAGUGGAGAACAGGUGGGGACAGUGGAAAACAGGUGGGGACAGUGGAGAACAGGUGGGGACAGUGGAGAACAGGUGGGGACAGUGGAGAACAGAUGGGGCAGAAAAGAACAGGUGGGGAACAGGUGGGGAAAGUGGAGAACAGAUAGGGACAGUGGAGAACAGGUGGGGGCAGAAAAGAG
ensembl:lncRNA